GGAUGAACGCUAGCGGCAGGAGGCUUAAGCCAUGCAAGUCGAGGGGUAACAGGAAUAGCUUGCUAUUUGCUGACGACCGGCGCACGGGUGAGUAACGCGUAUGCAACCUACCUUUUACUGGAGAAUAGCCUUUAGAAAUGAAGAUUAAUACUCCAUAAUAAUUAAGACUCUCCUGAGUUUUUAAUUUAAAGUUUCGGCGGUAAAAGAUGGGCAUGCGUUUUAUUAGUUAGUUGGUAAGGUAACGGCUUACCAAGACUACGAUAAAUAGGGGUCCUGAGAGGGAGAUCCCCCACACUGGUACUGAGACACGGACCAGACUCCUACGGGAGGCAGCAGUGAGGAAUAUUGGACAAUGGAGGCAACUCUGAUCCAGCCAUGCCGCGUGCAGGAAGACUGCCCUAUGGGUUGUAAACUACUUUUAUAUAGGAAGAAACCCUCUCACGUGUGAGAGGCUGACGGUACUAUACGAAUAAGGACCGGCUAACUCCGUGCCAGCAGCCGCGGUAAUACGGAGGGUCCAAGCGUUAUCCGGAUUUAUUGGGUUUAAAGGGUCCGCAGGCGGGAAAUUAAGUCAGUGGUGAAAUCCUACAGCUUAACUGUAGAACUGCCAUUGAAACUGAUUUUCUUGAGUGUGGUUGAAGUGGGCGGAAUGUGUCAUGUAGCGGUGAAAUGCAUAGAUAUGACACAGAACACCGAUAGCGAAGGCAGCUCACUAAGCCAUUACUGACGCUCAUGAACGAAAGCGUGGGGAGCGAACAGGAUUAGAUACCCUGGUAGUCCACGCCGUAAACUAUGAUUACUCGUUAUUGGCGAUACACUGUCAGUGACUAAGCGAAAGUUUUAAGUAAUCCACCUGGGGAGUACGAUCGCAAGAUUGAAACUCAAAGGAAUUGACGGGGGCCCGCACAAGCGGUGGAGCAUGUGGUUUAAUUCGAUGAUACGCGAGGAACCUUACCAAGGCUUAAAUGCAGAACGACAGAUUUGGAAACAAGUCCUUCUUCGGACGAUUUACAAGGUGCUGCAUGGUUGUCGUCAGCUCGUGCCGUGAGGUGUCGGGUUAAGUCCCAUAACGAGCGCAACCCCUAUUUUUAGUUGCCAACGAGUAAUGUCGGGAACUCUAGAAAGACUGCCUGUGUAAACAGUGAGGAAGGUGGGGAUGACGUCAAAUCAUCACGGCCCUUAUGUCUUGGGCUACACACGUGCUACAAUGGUUACUACAGUGGGCUGCCAUCUGGUAACAGAGAGCAAAUCCAUAAAGGUAAUCCCAGUUCGGAUCGGAGUCUGCAACUCGACUCUGUGAAGUUGGAAUCGCUAGUAAUCGUAUAUCAGCAAUGAUACGGUGAAUACGUUCCCGGGCCUUGUACAC
rnacentral:rRNA from 1 species